rnacentral:lncRNA from 1 species
GGAACCCUGCCUCAGGCCUAAUGAAGUGACUUAAGAUACUUCCUCCAACAGGUCGGCGCCUCCACCUGCUACAAGGGCCUGCGCGGGCUCCGGAUGGGGACCUCGUCUCGGAUUCUACCCGUGCCUGGGGUCCUCCGCGCCGUCCGGCCGCUCCGCGGGUAGCCUACCUGCACGGCGUCGCCGGCCAUGUCCGCCAGGGGUCCCAGCGCCGAGGGAGGGCUUGCGAGCGCGUCGGCGUGUGGGGCGGGAAGCGCGGAGCCCAGACCUUCCCUGGCGCGCUGCGCGAUCCGGCCUGCUGCGCUCGGCCCGGCCUGGCCAGGCCUCCGCCGAGCUGCGCCCUCGGGCCCCAGCGGCUGCAGGAUGGGUCACGUGAGCGCCGAGGUCCGCGCCUGGGGAGGAGGCGGGGCGGGGGCGGGGGCGGGGCUCCCGGCGGCCCCCGGGGCUUGCAGCGGGGAGUGGGAUCUCUGUUCGCUGUGCUGCGUGGCAAGCGCUCCUCAUAGCGUAGGGGGACUCUGAACAGGCCUGAGCGGCCG